rnacentral:rRNA from 1 species
UAUGUGAUCGUCUCUCGCAUAUCAAUAAGCGGAGGAAAAGAAACUAACAAGGAUUCCCCUAGUAACGGCGAGUGAAGCGGGAAGAGCUCAAAUUUGAAAUCUUAAAGGGUUUCCCUUUACGAAUUGUAGUUUAAAGAAGUGUUUUCUGUUGAGGUUUUGGUAAAAGUUCUUUGGAAUAGGACAUCAUAGAGGGUGAGAAUCCCGUAUUUGACCUUUACUUUCAACUUUGUGAUACACUUUCAAAGAGUCGGAUUGUUUGGGAAUGCAGUCCAAAAUGGGUGGUAAAUUUCAUCUAAAGCUAAAUAUUGGCGAGAGACCGAUAGCGAACAAGUACCGUGAGGGAAAGAUGAAAAGAACUUUGAAAAGAGAGUUAAACAGUACGUGAAAUUGUCAAAAGGGAAGCGUUUGACACCAGUGUUGUUUUUCUGAAAAUCAAUUAAAGAACUGUUUAUGCUAAGCUGUUUAGACUUUAUCAGCUAACUGUUUAGUUUUGAGCUUUUCUUUAAUGCACUUUUCAGUUAACAAGUCAACAUCAAUUUCUUUUGCUGUAAAAAAGCUUGAGGAAGGUGGCUUGAGAUUCGUCUUAAGUGUUUAUAGCCUCUUGCCUAUGCAGUCGGAGAGAUUGAGGUCUGCAGCGUAGAUCCUUCGGGGCUAAAUGCAUUUGUGCUAAGUUAUAGCAUUUUAUAGACAACUUGUUGACUAUGAUUUGUCUUGUAGCUUACUCGCUUAUGUUAUUUUACCUACGCUUAGGAUGUUGAUCUGUAGUGCGUGCG